rnacentral:rRNA from 1 species
AGAACGAACGCUGGCGGCAUGCCUAACACAUGCAAGUCGAACGAAGCCUUCGGGCUUAGUGGCGCACGGGUGCGUAACGCGUGGGAAUCUGCCCCUCGGUUCGGAAUAACAGUUAGAAAUGACUGCUAAUACCGGAUGAUGACGAAAGUCCAAAGAUUUAUCGCCGAGGGAUGAGCCCGCGUAGGAUUAGCUAGUUGGUGAGGUAAAGGCUCACCAAGGCGACGAUCCUUAGCUGGUCUGAGAGGAUGAUCAGCCACACUGGGACUGAGACACGGCCCAGACUCCUACGGGAGGCAGCAGUAGGGAAUAUUGGACAAUGGGCGAAAGCCUGAUCCAGCAAUGCCGCGUGAGUGAUGAAGGCCUUAGGGUUGUAAAGCUCUUUUACCCGAGAUGAUAAUGACAGUAUCGGAGAAUAAGACCCCGGCUAACUCCGUGCCAGCAAGCCGC